CAAUAACCUGUAACCCUCACAGCAGCAGCCUGCUCCCACUGUACAGGUACAGCCAGCUCACUGGCACACAAAGAGGGCAGCCAUGGGCACAUGCUCAGUGCCAGGGCACCAGAGUGCAGUGUGCAUCACACACACAUUGAAAGAAGCAUGACACAAACACAGUGAGAGGGGCAGGAGACACAAACACAGUGAGAGGUGCAUGCCAACGCAUGGCUGGUACAUGCACCCAGAAUAAUACCAGGCACACACAGGGUGGCACGGCAGCUGCUGCCAUGGCUGGGGUUCAUGCUGCAAGCGAUGCACGCACACACAGGUAUGCAAAGUGCCGUGACAGCCAGUCACCCCGCCCUCUUACCCGUCCUUCCUCUUGGCUUUGUAAACAUGCCCAUAGGUGCCCCGACCCACUUUGCAGCCUUCAUACUCGAACAGAUCCUCCACCUUCUCCCGCUCUGCGGACAGCUUGCUCUUGAACUCGUAAUCCAUGCUGGUGGGCUGGCCGGCCCGCGUGUUUAACCCAUCAAUGCGCCGUGUGCCCGCUCCCUGCCCGCCGCCGGUGGGUCGUUACAUGGAAUAAGUGGCAGGCUCUCCCUCCACCAUUUCCUUGUUUUCCUUCUUUGCACAGAGACGCAUGCCAUGUACUAACACCGGCUGCACAGCGCCCUCUAGCUUUACUUUCACUAUCACCCAGGCCGCCGCUGGCCUCCGCUAUGGCUCUGUGUGAGCAUUUAACAGCUUCACUGCCAGCUUGCCAGAGGGAGACCAUCACCAGAGAACUGACAUUAUUUUCUGUAAAAUGCCUCUCACUGGUUUUGUUAUGGGGUAAGAGGGG